rnacentral:lncRNA from 1 species
AGUAAAUGAAAACACUUUUGUAAGAUUCCGUUUUCUGUAAUUUCUUCUAUUCCUGUACUUUUCGUAAAACGCUCAAUCUCAUUAUAGAAAGAGGAGGUGAUACCAAAGCUGUUUAACUUCUGCCACCAUGACUCAUUCUCGAAGAAAUUUCCGUCUUUCAUAGCUUGAAAUAAUACAUCGAGUUCAAACUUGUUCGGUGUUAUAAAAUCAAUUGAGGCAACAGAUAAGACUUUUAGUAUCUUUAAUGUUUUGGGACCACUGGUUGGUUCAAAAACGACUCGUUGCUUACUCGAUUUAGAUGUGGUUAUAUCUAGCAUCAAUGACGGUGAAAUAUUACCAUCAAAACAAAUGUACUUAGCGUCAUUAAGAUCAUCCUUGAUUUCUGAAUAACUAAGGUUUUCCAUGAUGGCCAUGUCAGCUCCAGCUAAUAAUAAAUUGCCAUUACAAUCGUUGAUAGCUGUGUAUGAGCAAGAGGUAAAGUUACUUUUCUCAACAAUGGUAUGCUGCAAAGAAGACUUGGUAAGAUACUCUUUAAUAGAGGAAGUGGGUACGGAUUUUGUUCCAACACAUGAAACCAACUUCGUAGAAGCGCCCAUUAAAGAAGAAGCCAAAGCCAUGUUAUGAGCAACACCGCCAAAAGCCUGUUCAGAGUGACAAGGAUGAGAUGUGCCAAGGAAUUUAGAUGUUAAAGGAUUAUCCAAUUUCAAAACUGAGUCAAUAGACACACUACCAACACAUACAACUUCUGCAGGUUUGGACGUUGUUUCUGUAAUUUUUUUUUUGCUCGACGAAACCCCUUUGUCACUCACUUUACCAUAGAAAAAGUCUUGUUUAACCGGCUUCGUUUCAAAUGUAUUUCCGGUGUUGGUAGGGAAAAAAGAGCUUUUUUCUUUUAAAACAGCUAGUUCUUUUGCAAUAAGGGAAGCCUUUUCGGCAUUGUUUAAGACCAAAUCAAUAUUAGUAUUUAAACUUUUCCCUUUUGAUUCUCUUAGAAGUUCUCCUAAAAGCCAUGGAGUUACAUUUUUACCAGUUAUGCCAAGUUGUACACUCCUUUGCAAACAAGUUUCAAUCAAAGCCUCCAUUUUUUCGUAAUCAAUAGAACAAUGGUGAGGGGUGGGAAUGGCCACAAGAGUACCACAUUCCUGGCCAAGCUGUAUAUUACUAAAGAGCAUGUUAGCAAUUAACUGCGGAGUUUCUAGAGAAAGAGGGCUCUGGAACUUGGAUUCUCUUGAAAAAAAUGCAGGGAAAGCCGAUUUUGGAGGGCCUAAAGUGACAACAGGAACACCCUGAGUUUCUAAUACUUCAAGUGUGCGUCCAAUAUCGAGUAUACUCUUGACACCAGCACUGACGACGGCAACCCUUGUGCGACCUAAUUCUAUUAAAUCCGCAGAAAUAUCCAUGGAAUUUUCUGCCCCACGAUGAACACCACCUAUACCGCCCGUUGCGAAUACGUCAAUGCCAGCUGCUCUAGCCAAGAUCAUAGUUGCAGCAACUGUGGUUCCACCAUUGAGUCUCUGGGAAGCAACAUAAGAUAAAUCUCUACGAGACACUUUAUAUGCUGUUUCACCUGAUUUAGCAAGUUCGCUUAACUGAAAUUGUUCAAGCCCUAUAGUACAUUGUCCAUUUAAUAGAGCAAUUGUCGCAGGAACCGCACCCAUGCUGCGUACCUUGCUUUCCACUUGAAUUGCCAAUUCUUCAUUUUGAGGAUAAGGCAUUCCAUGAGUGAUGAUAGUUGAUUCUAAGGCAACGACUGGUACGUUGUUUUUAAGGGCUUCUGUCACUUCCUUGGAUAAGGCCAGCGGACUAUAUCUUCUGCAAAGUAUAUUCCUCAAUCCAGGGUUUGGAUUUCUCUUCAGCCUUCUGAACCCCAAUGGAAUACGUGAAACUAACCGACAACCUCUAUUCAUAACGAUGAGCAUAUAAGCAAGAUGCUAAGAAAAAUAGUGAUAAAUAGGUAAAUAAUAUAGGACAAACGAAGAAAGCGUAUAUCAGAUAAUAUUAAAAUCGUGAAUAAAUCGUACUAUACGCGCUCACUCCGCGUAUCUAAUAAACGUAAAAAGAAUGAGUGGAAUAAAGUUAACCCAAAAUUGAGAUUUAAAAAGGACGUAUACUAUUAGGAAUAAAAGUUUAAGGAACAAAAAAUGAAAAUGCCAGAACGAUCAGACGACGUUUUUUAUAUAUAAUCUACCUCGGCAAAUCAUAUCUAAACAUGGUGGUGUCUGAUAAUAAAUGUA